CCUACGGGGGGCAGCAGUGGGGAAUAUUGCACAAUGGGGGGAACCCUGAUGCAGCAAUGCCGCGUGGGUGAAGAAGGAUUUCGGUGUGUAAAGCCCUGUCAGUAGGGAAGAAAAUGACAGUACCUGUACAAGAAGCCCCGGCUAACUACGUGCCAGCAGCCGCGGUAAUACGUAGGGGGCAAGCGUUAUCCGGAUUUACUGGGUGUAAAGGGAGCGCAGGCGGCGUGGCAAGUCAGAUGUGAAAACCCGGGGCUCAACCCCGGGAGUGCAUUUGAUACUGAGAUGCUAGAGUGCCGGAGAGGUAAGCGGAAUUCCUGGUGUAGCGGUGAAAUGCGUAGAUAUUAGGAGGAACACCAGUGGCGAAGGCGGCUUACUGGACGGUAACUGACGCUGAGGCUCGAAAGCGUGGGGAGCAAACAGGAUUAGAUACCCUUGUAGUC
rnacentral:rRNA from 1 species